GAUGAACGCUGGCGGCGUGCCUAAUACAUGCAAGUCGAGCGAACGGACGCGAAGCUUGCUUCUCUGAUGUUAGCGGCGGACGUGUGUGUAACACGUGUAUAACCUACCUAUAUGACUGGGAUAACUUCGGGAAACCGUCGCUAAUACCGGAUAAUAUUUUGAACCGCAUGGUUCAAUAGUGAAAGACGGUCUUGCUGUCACUUAUAGCUGGAUCCGGGCUGCAUGAGCUAGUUGGUAAGGUAACGGCUUACCAAGGCAACGAUGCAUAGCCGACGUGAGAGGGUGAUAGGCCACACGGGAGCGGAGACACGGUCCAGACGCCUACGGGAGGCAGCAGUAGGGAAUCGGACGCAAUGGGCGAAAGCCUGACGGAGCAAGGCCGAGUGAGUGAUGAAGGUCUUCGGAUCGUAAAACUCUGUUAUUAGGGAAGAACAGAUGUGUAAGUAAAUGUGCACAUCUUGACGGUACCGAAUCAGAAAGCCACGGCUAACUACGUG
rnacentral:rRNA from 1 species